CCCUUAGAUGUCCGGGGCCGCACGCGCGCUACACUGAUGCAUUCAACGAGCCUAUCCUUGACCGACAGGUCCGGGUAAUCUUUGAAUCUGCAUCGUGACGGGGAUAGAUUAUUGCAAUUAUUAAUCUUCAACGAGGAAUGCCUAGUAGGCGCAAGUCAUCAGCUUGCGUCGAUUACGUCCCUGCCCUUUGUACACACCGCCCGUCGCUCCUACCGAUUGGGUGUGCUGGUGAAAUGUUCGGAUCGGCCGUUUGUCGCGGUUUCCGCGUCAUGUGGCUGAGAAGUUCAUUAAACCCUCCCACCGAGAGGAAGGAGAAGUCGUAACA
rnacentral:rRNA from 1 species